GAUGUCUAAUAUCAGCAAUAAUAUCAAAGAAGGAAGCGAGAGCCUUCGACCAAGACAAUUUGAGUAUCACCCCACUAAUCCUAGUCUAAUGGCUUUUGGAACUUUGGAUGGGGAGGUUGUUGUUGUUAACCAUGAUGCUGGAAAUAUUUUCAGUUAUAUUCCACUCUUUGGAGUGACUAAUAGCAUUUUGGGCCUCUGUUGGCUUAACAAGAAUCCAUUCAAGCUCCUUGCUGGUUCUGACAGUG
rnacentral:misc_RNA from 1 species